UUUUUCUGAUCUGACAAAAAAAAGAAUACGUAUAAUUUCGAUUCAUUCACACUGGCCAGCUAUUGUGUUGGCUGUUGUCAUUUAUUUAUUUGGCAAUCC